rnacentral:rRNA from 1 species
UACGGAGGGGGCAAGCGUUGUUCGGAAUUACUGGGCGUAAAGGGCGCGUAGGCGGUCUGUUGCGUCGGGUGUGAAAGCCCCGGGCUCAACCUGGGAAUGGCACUUGAUACGGGCAGGCUGGAAUCCGGGAGAGGAUGGUGGAAUUCCCAGUGUAGAGGUGAAAUUCGUAGAUAUUGGGAAGAACACCGAUGGCGAAGGCAGCCAUCUGGCCCGCGAUUGACGCUGAGGCGCGAAAGCGUGGGGAG